AGAAUUUAGGAUAAGAAAUAUAAGUGCUGUAAUGUUCCUUCUUAGGCUGUCUUACUGGAAGUACGCUAAUAGUAGCGAGAUGCCCACUGCAGAGCCUAGUGCUCAUAUACCCUAUUAUAUGCUUGAGGAGGCAGCAAGUGACCAUGAAUUGAAUAUUUUCAAAGAUUUGGACUGUGUGAUUGGCACCUUCUCUUGGCAUGUCAACUCUGCCCACCCCUCCCUUCCAUGGUAUUGGUUGUGCCGAUGCUCUGCAUUGGCAGUGAAGUGAUCGCAUCUGGUAAGAAAGUCCAGCUCUCAAAGAACCACUGUGGGGGGAAGGACCUAAAUGGUAAAUGGGAAUUUCCCCCUUUUGUUAACUCUGCUUUUCUGCAAGAAGUCAGCAAAGACAGGUAUGUAAAUAAUUCCUUGUGGAGAGGAGUGGUUCUCAACUAUUUUGUCGGUGAAUGAUUUUGUUCUUUUGAGGUACGAGCACAUGCUGUUUGGCUACACGUGUAUUUAAAGAUUGGGACGUCUUGAAAAGGAAUUAACUCCAGUCCUAGGAUUUGUUAACUGACAAGAAAAAGCUAUUUCUUUAAUGUUACUUUAAUGUCACUGAAGGCAAGCAUGGGUUCACGUUUCUGAAAUGCUUUUGCAUGUUUGUUUGUUUUCUUGCAAGUAAUGUUGAUUGGUUUUAUUUCUUUCUUCAAGAGCAAUAAACUUCUUAUAUUGUUUCAAGGCUUAAUAUGGCCACAGCUACAGAUUAACACGCUGGCUUACUUCAUCCUGUCAUCUCUGCUGCUUAGUGGGGAAAGCAGGCUGACAUGGUUAUUAAAUCUGGCAGCUGUGUUGUAUUGCACAUGGGCAGCAAGUAGAGCACAGCAUAUAGAGAAUGAGUAGCUUUCAGUUAACAGCCUUCAUUUCGCUGCCACAAGGCUUGAAAGACAGACUCAAAAGCCCUUUCUCCUUUUUGUAAUCACCAGUU
rnacentral:lncRNA from 1 species